GAAAGAUAUCACCGGUUAGUCGUUCUGGAUUGCUCAUUGUAAAUUUGUCUUCGAAUGAAAUUCCAUGCUUGGAUCUUCCGCCGGAGAGAAGUGCCAGAGAGAUGCGGUGCCUCGCCGAGUCAGCUGGGUGAGGUUUCUGGUGGCUGUCCGAUUCGCCAGACAGAUGGUGGUAGGUCGGCGUCAGGAGAGAGGGCGGCGUUCGGGUGGC
rnacentral:misc_RNA from 1 species